UUUUUUUUUUUUUUUCUUCUGGCUUCCGCGGCUAGCGAUGCGCCAAUGACAAAUCUUGAGUGAUAAAUCGUGAGUUAGUCUUCAAUAAUAAUUAUCUUUUCAUGUUGUUACUGUGCAGUCGUUAAAAACGAGGAAACUUUUCAAUAAUAAAAUAUACCGGAUAGGAACGGAAUUUGGAAAAGGUGAGGAUCAGGAGAGGAAUAAUAAUAAAAUAAUAAUAAAAAGAGGAAGUUAAAUUUUAAUAUCAUUAGUAUUAAUAAACAUACUUAAUAAACGAUAGACUGAAGGAUUAUUUGAAGAUAAAAGGAUCUGGAUAGAAGUAGGAAAAGGAAUGUGUAAAUGUGUAAGUCCCUGAAAAAGUUGAGCAUUAUCAUAUUUAGGACAAUUCAGGAAGAUGUGAUCCACAUCCUCCACCUCACCACACUCACAUAAAGCACUGUCCACUAUAUGAAAUUUAGCUAGAUGAGCAGACGUACAAACGUGACCUAAUCUCAUACGAGUCAGGAUGCACGAUGCCGUCUUGCCCAACAGCAACCGCGAGAACCAGGGUUUUGCAGGAAUUUCACGUUGGAUAGAUGCGAAAUAUUUUCCUUUUGUUUGAGAACUGACAGACCACACUUCCCUCCACGAAUCACGUAGAUACACUCUGGGUAGAGCAAGAAGGUCAUGAGGGUAGAUUUUAUAGUAAGCCAUAUCUCCACAAUCAAUGGCGUCAUUAGCAAGCCUAUCAGCCUGUUCGUUUCCACGGAUACCCCUAUGUCCCGGAAUCCAGGCAAAAAUAAUCGAAAAUCCCUUUGCAGCACACUGAACAAUCAUGUUUCUGGUUUCUAUUAUCAAUGGACUAAUAAGUUUUGUUUUAAAUAAAAAUUUAGAUAGAGAUUGUAGAGCGCUCAUUGAGUCUGAAAAGAUUAUAGUUUUCCUAAGUUUUGCUAAAAGUACAUACUCAACCGCUUUAUACAGACCAAAAACUUCACCAGUAAAAACAGAACUCUCAGGAGGUAAUUUAAUCUUUUGAACUAUAUCGUAUUGUGAGUGAUAUAUGCCAACACCUACUUUAUUAUCUGUGGAUCGUUUGGACGCAUCACUAAAAACAUGAUGCCAACUGUCAGUGCUAUUGUCAAAUUCCGUGUCUAGAACGAAAUUGAAAACAUUGGAUGCCUCAAAAGUUUGUUUAGUUAUACCCAAGUUUAAACGAACAUCAGGUUUAUAAACAAGGGCUUCAUAGUUUGAGGUGUAAAGAGGGAAACAUAUUGAGUUAUGAAUUGGCGUAUCAAUUGACAGUAAUUUUUGAUAACUAUUAAUUAAACAAGGAGUGCAUUUAUGAGUCCAGUAACUUGAGGAGUUGACUUCUUCAGAGAGGAUUUUUAGCUUGGUUAAAAGUGGGUGGUCACCUAGUUGUAAACAACGGUAUAAAUAACUAUCUGAAAGAAACUGCCGCCUCAGUUGUAAAGGGGGUUCAACACACUCGACUUGCAUUGCAUUAAUAGGGCUAGUCUUCAUUGCGCCCAGAACAAUCCUUAAAGCUACCGAUUGUAUUUUAUCUAGUUUAUUUAAAGCAGCAGCACUACAUGGUUCCAGCAAAAAAGAUCCAUAAUCAAUCACACUCCUGAUUAGUGCAUUAUAAAUGAUUCUCAGAGAAGUAGGAUGAGCGCCCCACCAUACACCUCUGAGGCAUUUAAUAAUAUUAAGAUUCCGUUCACAUUUAGCCUCAAUAUAAUUGCAAUGUGGGAUACCAGGGGAGAUCUCAUACGAGAAAAAAGCACUACAUUGCUUUUGGAAACGGAUAAUUCUAAGCCAUUAUCAUUCAGCCAACCCUUCAAUAUACCAAGAGAUGUUGUAAGUGUGUUACAUAAAUUAGAAACAGAUUUACCUGAACAAUACAAUAAAAGAUCAUCUGCAUACUGUAAAAUAUUAACUGAGUUACUUAAGGAAUCCUCUAAAUCAUAAGUAUAUACAUUAUAUAGUAAAGGGCUCAGCACUGAGCCUUGAGGUAAGCCCUGCCAAACAACUCUAGAUAUCUGGGACCCAUCUAGUGUAACACUUAUAGAUCUCUCUGACAGCAUUCUAAUAAUAAAUGAAGUGAGCAUUUCCGGAACAUUUAAUGAUUUUAAUUUCUUAUGAAGAAUAGAAAUAACAACAUUAUCAUAGGCACCUUUAAUGUCUAAAAAAGCAGAGAGGAUGGAUUCAUUUUUUGAAAAUGCCAGUCUAAUGUCAGUCAUAAACAGACUCAAACUAUCAGAAGUACUUCUGCCCUUUCUGAAGCCGAACUGACUUUCAGAGAGCAAUCUAUUGCUUUCUAAAUACCAUUCUAGCCUAUUUUUGACUAAAUGUUCUGCCAAUUUGGCCAGUACAGAAGAUAAAACAACAGGUCGGUAAGAAGAAGCGUCAGAAGGAGGUUUCUUUGGUUUUAAGAUAGGUAUUACUAACUGGGACCUCCAUGAGAGAGGAAUGUUGCCAGACAACAUAAUAGAAUUUAUAAUAUUUAAGAAGUAAUUUAAAGUUUUAUCACUGCUGUUACAGAAAAAGGAAUAGGGUAUACCGUCUUGACCGGGUGACGUGUCAAUUAAACUUGUUAAAAUGCCUUUAAUUUCAGACAUGGAAAAAGGUGAAUUUAAUCCUGAUAAAUUAUUAGAAAUUGAAGUUGGCAAGCACUGAAUUUGUAACUCGGGAACUGAAGAAGGAGCUAGAUUAUCUAGGAAUUGUUCAGCUAGCUCUGAAGAUAGAGAGCCUCUAGAUGAUGGAUUAACACCCAUCCUGAAUCUCCUAACGCUUUGCCAAACAACAGAAACAUUAACAUCUGGACAAAUAUUAUUACAGAAUCUUCUCCAUCCCUCAAACUUCUUCUUUUUCAAAAAUUUACGAGUGUCCCGUGCCACUUGACAGUAAAGCUCAUAGUUCACAGAUGUCAUUAAACAGGAAUAAACCCUUUCUGCUUCCCUCCUUCUUUUUAUAGCCUCUGUGCACUCGUUGUCCCACCAAGGUGGACAGGGGAUUUUUCUGGAGCCGCCCACUUUAAUUGGGAAUAAAGCAUCUGCAACCUCAAUCAUGACUUUGACAAGAGCCUCAGAGCAAGCCAUCUCAUUACCCAUACAGACAGAAGGGAGGUUUGAAACUUUACUGUCAACUUGCUGACUAAAUGCAGACCAAUCACUAGGUUUUUUAUCAGCAGCACUUCUACAAUUCCACUGUAGGAGUACCUGAUCCAUUAUUGGGAUUGAUAGACACAGUGUUUUCAAUUAGUUGGGCAACGUGGGACGGUAUAGAAUUGGUGGGAAUUAAACUGGAUUUAAACAAAAGCUCAAUAAGAGACAAAAUUAAUUUCGCUAUGGGUUGGUUUGAUUUAUCAUUUUCUGAGUUAUCAUUUUUCAGAGCAGAACCAUUUGGUGAAGAUAGAGGUAUAUCAUAAUCUUUUAUUAGAGAUGCAUGUGCAGCCCGGUCAUACCCAGCCGAAGGCGUAGGAGGAGCACGAGGCUUAAGGAAAACUGUUUUUUUAUAUGAGCUGGAAGAUGGGGACAAUCGAGCUGCUGGGUUAGCAGCCUCAUCUUGAGAUUGUUUAUGUUGCGAAGUUCUAAGAACGUCAGCAAAAGAUUUGGAGACAACGGGGUGUAAUUUGGAAGCCUCUAAAUAUGAGAUGCAGUUUUGAGCCAUUGACACUUUGAUAUUUUUUUGUCGGGAAAAUUCAGGACAAGCCUUACUAGUGGCAAAAUGAUAACCAGAACAAAGACAGCAUGAUCCAUCCUCUUGUUCUACUGAACAAGAUUCGGCAGUGUGACCUUGCCCACAUUUAUAACAGCGAGGCUUGGAGCGGCAUUGAGCCUUUGUAUGACCAAAACGGCAGCAGCUGUAACAUUGAAUGGUUGGAUAAAUGUACAAGUCGACAGUCAAUGGAGUAUAGCACAUAAACACACGUUUUGGUAGUACUUGUCCAUCGAAAGUUAAAACAACUGUUUCAGUGUUAGUAAAUUCUGGAGACCCAUUUAUAAUUUUUUUACUUUUAAUUCUCCUAGCUUUAAGAACUUUCCCACAUCCAAUGGGGACACUCACAUUAUCCAAAAUCUCAUCCUCAGGCCAGUCAGCAGGGACACCCCUGACAACACCCAUCCGUGUGAUAAUAAAGGUUGGAAUGAAAGCUCUCAAACUAUGGCUGGCAAGGCAAGGAUUUUCAAUAAAAGCGUUAGCAUCAGAAUAUGUGGAAAAGGCCAUGGAUAGUCUAUUUCUGCCGAUCCGUUUCAAGCUACCGUUCACUAUGUUUUUAAUCAUAUUUUUCUUUAGAACGCUGCCAAACUGAAUGGGAUGCAGUGAAACAGGAUCGUCAGGAGUAGACUGCUCCUUUUGAAUGUGCACCACAUAGGGUGCUAGGUCGGAAGAAACAUAUUUCCUACCAACUUGCUGUUGCUGCUGGGUUUGCUGAUUAGUUACUGUGACUGUUGGUGGUGGAGGUGGAGGAUCAGGUAUUGUUGAUAAAAGAGAAUUGUCUUCGUCAGAAUUGCAAUUGCACUUGUCUACACCCGAAACGUUUUUACUAUUUUUACUUUUGCGCUUUUUGUUGCAAUGUUUGCAAAUCUUUCUCAAGGGUCUUACACGUUUUCUGACUUGAGAGGAGCACCCGUCCUCCGUAUCCAUUGACGAAGUAUCGUCAACAAUAACUUCCAUCCCUACAUGAGGGACACGAUGACGAUCCCGGCCGCCACCGGGGUCGUCGGGGGGAUCAACCCCCAUAGUAAAAAGAAAAACUCACUUACCACUACACAGCAGCAAGUAUUUUAGAAGAAUAUAUAUAAAUAUGAAUUAACAGAUAAAAUAAUACAGAAAUACUCCACUGAACCCACACGAAAUCAAUUAAAUUAAAUUUUCACUAAAAAACACGACCGCCAAUUUCGGAAGUUUCCCGCGCUUUUCUCUGUGAUGUUUGUUUAU